GGGGGUGCUUACCAUGCAAGUCGAACGAUGACCUCCAGCUUGCUGGGGUGAUUAGUGGCGAACGGGUGAGUAACACGUGAGUAACCUGCCUUCCACUCUGGGAUAAGCACUGGAAACGGUGUCUAAUACCGGAUACGAGCUUCCGCCGCAUGGUGAGGAGCUGGAAAGAAUUUUGGUGGGGGAUGGACUCGCGGCCUAUCAGGUAGUUGGUGAGGUAAUGGCUCACCAAGCCGACGACGGGUAGCCGGCCUGAGAGGGUGACCGGCCACACUGGGACUGAGACACGGCCCAAACUCCUACGGGAGGCAGCAGUGGGGAAUAUUGCACAAUGGGCGAAAGCCUGAUGCAGCAACGCCGCGUGAGGGACGACGGCCUUCGGGUUGUAAACCUCUUUUAGUAGGGAAGAAGCGAAAGUGACGGUACCUGCAAAAAAAGCACCGGCUAACUACGUGCCAGCAGCCGCGGUAAUACGUAGGGUGCAAGCGUUGUCCGGAAUUAUUGGGCGUAAAGAGCUCGUAGGCGGUUUGUCGCGUCUGCUGUGAAAACCGGAGGCUCAACCUCCGGCCUGCAGUGGGUACGGGCAGACUAGAGUGCGGUAGGGGAGAUUGGAAUUCCUGGUGUAGCGGUGGAAUGCGCAGAUAUCAGGAGGAACACCAAUGG
rnacentral:rRNA from 1 species